UACGGGGGGGGCAAGCGUUGUUCGGAAUUACUGGGCGUAAAGGGCUCGUAGGCGGCCAACCACGUCAGACGUGAAAUCCCUCGGCUUAACCGGGGAACUGCGUCUGAUACUGGAUGGCUAGAGUUUGGGAGAGGGAUGCGGAAUUCCAGGUGUAGCGGUGAAAUGCGUAGAUAUCUGGAGGAACACCGGUGGCGAAGGCGGCAUCCUGGACCAACACUGACGCUGAGGAGCGAAAGCGUGGGGAGCGAACAGG
rnacentral:rRNA from 1 species